GUCCCGCCAAAUCCAAAAGUUCAAAAUGAAUGACAACGUUCCCAAUUGUUUGGCUUUAAAUAAGGCUUUCUGAAGACAUGUCGACCACAAAAGACAUCUAUGAAGGAUGUUUUUAGCAGGGAUUUGUUGGCAACAUGGAGUAAAGGGUAAAAGGGGACUGAACCUGGAUGGCUACAUAAAGAUCAAAUUUCUACAUACCGAGGAAUAUACGCCGCCAGGAGGCCCAGGGGGUCCAGGAGGCCCGGGUGGCCCGGGUGGUCCUGCAAUCACCGCACCCGCUCCGCUACCGCUUCCAACCACGACUGGGCCGGGGGGACCAGGAGGCCCAGGGGGUCCCAUCACGCCGUUAUUGACGAAGAAUCCAAGAGGAAGCUGUUGGUUCCAAUACGCCUCCAUCCUUUCUUGGUCUGUCUGUUCUGGCUGGCCAUAUUGUUGUCCAUAUUGCUGGCCAUAGAAAGAUCGCUUCUUUAACUGGGGCUUGCGUAACGCGGGAGAACAGUUCUGUCAAGAGAAACAUGUAUAAUUUUCAUUGUUGCACAUGCGCAAGGUGAACUUACCGCGAGGGUGGCAAGACACACGCCUGCAGCGAGGCACAGGAGAACCUGUGAGGGCCUCAUGACCUGAGAGAAAAAAGGGUUUUAUUCUCAUAGAUUAAUAUCUACUCUACGUCAAUGUGCCGAGUACAGAGACGAUAACCUGUGAGGGCCUCAUGACCCGAGAGAAAAAUAGGUUUUAUUCUCAUAGAUUAAUAUCUACUCUACGUCAAUGUGCCGAGUACAGAGACGAUAACCUGUGAGGGCCUCAUGACCUGAGAGAGAAAAGGGUUUAUUCUCAUAGAUUAAUAUCUACUCUACGUCAAUAUGCCGAGUACAGAGACGAUAACCCCUGAGAGAAAAAAGAGUUUUAUUCUCAUAGAUUAAUAUCUACUCUACGUCAAUAUGCCGAGUACAGAGACGAGAACAUGUGAGGGCCUCAUGACCUGAGAGGAAAAAGGGUUUUAUUCUCAUAGAUUAAUAUCUACUCUACGUCAAUAUGCCGAGUAAAGAGAUGAGAACCUGUGAGGGCCUCAUGACCUGAGAGAAAAAAGGGUUUUAUUCUCAUAGAUUAAUAUCUACUCUACGUCAAUAUGCCGAGUACAGAGACGAGAACAUGUGAGGGCCUCAUGACCUGAGAGGAAAAAGGGUUUUAUUCUCAUAGAUUAAUAUCUACUCUACGUCAAUAUGCCGAGUAAAGAGAUGAGAACCUGUGAGGGCCUCAUGACCUGAGAGAAAAAAGGGUUUUAUUCUCAUAGAUUAAUAUCUACUCUACGUCAAUGUGCCGAGUAAAGAGACGAUAACCUGUGAGGGCCUCAUGACCUGAGAGAAAAAAGGGUUUUAUUCUCAUAGAUUAAUAUCUACUCUACGUCAAUGUGCCGAGUAAAGAGAUGAUAACCUGUGAGGGCCUCAUGACCUGAGAGAAAAAAGGGUUUUAUUCUCAUAGAUUAAUAUUUACUCUACGUCAAUAUGCCGAGUACAGAGACGAUAACCUGUGAGGGCCUCAUGACCUGAGAGAAAAAAGCGUUUUAUUCUCAUAGCUUAAUAUCUACUCUACGUCAAUGUGCCGAGUACAGAGACGAUAACCUGUGAGGGCCUCAUGACCUGAGAGGAAAAAGGGUUUUAAUCUCAUAGAUUAAUAUCUACUCUACGUCAAUAUGCCGAGUAAAGAGAUGAGAAUUUACAAGGUCAUAAAGUUCAUUUGUCUCAUUUUAAAACCUUUAAAUCUUUACUUUUACUUGCAUGAGGAAUUACAACGGACACUCAUAUUUAUAAGAGUUCUCAUUUAAAAUCAUCCACAUCUUUACUUUACACGCAUAAAGAAUGCUUCUUGACACUCAGUAUAAACCCUUUUGUAGAAUUUUCAGCCCCUGGACCUGGUUCGAGGGAUGCGUUCUAUCUUAUACCAAAUAAACGUCGUUGAAUAUUCGAUUAUUAUUUUUUUUCCUUUUUCCUUCUCAUGUGCAGCGUUAAUUGGAUAACCUGUACAUUAUUUUUGUUGACUCUCAACUUUGGCUAGUUAUGAUUGUCUUGCCAUGGUCAGCGGCAAUUAGUCUUAAGAUGCGCUCGCGGGAUUGGGCGUCACCUUGACCUAAAAUUUUUCACUCAAUUUUUUUAAAUAUUUCUUGUAAAGUAUCAUAGAUAUGGUGAACGUUUAGUUAUUGACCUUUUUACCCCAGGUUUUGUUGAGGUCUGAGGUUUUGCUUUGACAAGCAAAACCUCAGAACAAACAAACAAGCAAACACAAAUUAAUAUGUACGAUGAAUGAAUACUAGAAUAAAAUAAUAUGAUAAUAGAUUUGAUUUCCUGAGGUUAGACCCAUAACUGUUCAUCGCUUGUUCUUGUUAAGUAAUGUGUCUCUUCUUGGUCAAAAUAAAAGGUGUACAAUGAACAUCAAACGAUAGUUCUGGCCACCGAACGUUGGUUAAUUCAUCCAUAAAAAAAGAAGAUUAUUUGACAUUUUAAGUGAGUUUCACUAGGAUGGAAAACCUUUUUUCCUUAUAGCUUAAGUAUUCUCAUUCCGGCUACUAAAAACACAUUUUAACAAUUUUGGACUUGUUUUAAUAUCUAUCGCUUCAGUGAGCACCGGACUCGUCCAUUUUAACCCCACAUUUGUACCCGUGCCUCCCAUCAAUAUCCAUUUCUACAUUCACCAAUACCUCCAGAGAGGCCAAUUCUUUCACAACACUUACCUUUCAGAAACCCAAGAGUUAAAAAAUCCCACUAUAAUCAACGAAAACAGCCUUGGUAUUUCGGCUAACACUGUUAGGUCGUUUUCGCGGGGCAGCAAACGUGAGGUAAUGCUGUUGGGAUGAUCCCUGGAUUACGUCAUAAAGGAAGUCAACCGGCCCCGGCAGGUCGUUCGGGCGUGACGGUCGAAUGCUGCGCUUGCGCGAUGACCACUGCUAUUCUUCGCCGUUUCGCGACGUUGAUUUCUCAGUGAUCAUGUCACGAUUUCGAUUCUGACUUUAGAACCCUUGACUGGGGCUCUAAUACCAGCAGUUACCGUCAAACCCCCACCGGUAAAAUGAAGAUUUUUUUUUUUACUUGAACAAGAUGUUGUCUGAUUUUGUUUACGUUUGAGUUGUUUGUUGCUGUUGAGUUCCGUGUUUAGGGAGAAACAAGAUGCAGGUGAAAAUGGUCACCCGUCGUUAGCUAAGUGGGGAACAGCUGCCCUAUGUCAAGUGCUGAAUCACUGUGAUGAAAAAAGGGUCAAGACAGAAACUGCAGUCAGAGGGAGGGGUGGGGGUAUUGGGUCCGCUCCCCCCAGCAGUCCGCCCAGGGCAUACCAGGACCUCACUAUUUAGAAAAUGGAAGAUGGAAAGAAGAAAGGAGUCAUGAAGUGAGGAAAACAACCCCCUUAAAAAAAUAAUAGGAUAGCAUAAAAGCAUGAUUAUACCACUCCCACUUUCAGAGAGCUAGAGAUCCAGGUUUCCUUGAGGUCUCGGUUGAUAAGCUGUGCGAUUAAAAUCAUAUAUACCCCUGAGCCGGAUAAACAGCCCAUAAUCGACAUGAUAACGACAUCGUACAUCGCUUUUCUCGACGGUCAUAAAGCGGCUAAUUGUUUUAGUAGCAAAAUAUCACCUUGAAGACCAAUCCUCUUGACUUUAUUUAUCAACUACAAAAAUACGUUUUGUUUAAUCAAGAUGAUAAUGCUUACUCUCUAAGAGGGCCUAUAACUCAUAGACCACAGUAGCUAAGCCAAUCAGCGUAUGUUAUUUGGUAUAGACCAUUGAUUGUUUCCACAUGACAUUACUAACAUAGAGAACAUUAUAAAGAGAGCCAUGAAGACUAGAAAUGGGCACUUGA